rnacentral:rRNA from 1 species
AGUGAACGCUGGCGGUAGGCCUAACACAUGCAAGUCGAGCGGCAGCACAGUGCUAGCUUGCUCUUACGGCGGGCGAGUGGCGGGCGGGGGCGAAGAACAUCCGAGUCUACUUUUUCUUAGGGGAUGACGUGGGGGCUCUUACGCCAAUCGUGCAUACGGCCUACGGGUGAAAGCAUGGGAUCUUCCGCCCUCGCGCGAUCCUAUGACGCGAGGUCGGAUUAGCUGGUUGGCGGGGUACCGGCGCACCAAGGCGACGCUCGGAAGCUGGUCUGAGAGGAGGAUCAGUCACACUGGAACUGAGACCAGGUCCAGACUCCUACGGGAGGCAGCAGUGGGGAAUAUUGGACAAUGGGCGAAAGCCUGAUCCAGCCAUGCCGCGUGUGUGAAGAAGGUCUUCGGAUUGUAAAGCACUUUAGGUUGGGAGGAAGAGCAGUAAGUUAAUACCUUGCUGUUUUGACGUUACCAAAAGAAUAAGCACGGGCUAACUUCGUG